rnacentral:rRNA from 1 species
GAUGAACGCUAGCUACAGGCUUAACACAUGCAAGUCGAGGGGAAACGGCAUCGAAAGCUUGCUUUUGAUGGGCGUCGACCGGCGCACGGGUGAGUAACGCGUAUCCAACCUGCCCAUCACUUGGGAAUAACCUUGCGAAAGUAAGACUAAUGCCCAAUGACAUCCCACGAAGGCAUCCGAAUGGGAUUAAAGAUUUAUCGGUGAUGGAUGGGGAUGCGUCUGAUUAGCUUGUUGGCGGGGUGACGGCCCACCAAGGCAACGAUCAGUAGGGGUUCUGAGAGGAAGGUCCCCCACAUUGGAACUGAGACACGGUCCAAACUCCUACGGGAGGCAGCAGUGAGGAAUAUUGGUCAAUGGGCGAGAGCCUGAACCAGCCAAGUAGCGUGCAGGAUGACGGCACUAUGGGUUGUAAACUGCUUUUAUAAGGGAAUAAAGUGGGCCACGCGUGACUUUUUGCAUGUACCUUAUGAAUAAGGACCGGCUAAUUCCGUG